GAGUUUGAUCGUGGCUCAGAUUGAACGCUGGCGGCAUGCCUUACACAUGCAAGUCGAACGGCAGCACGGGAGCUUGCUCCUGGUGGCGAGUGGCGAACGGGUGAGUAAUGCAUCGGAACGUAUCCUGGAGUGGGGGGAUAACGUAGCGAAAGUUACGCUAAUACCGCAUAUUCUGUGAGCAGGAAAGCGGGGGACCUUCGGGCCUCGCGCUCUUGGAGCGGCCGAUGUCGGAUUAGCUAGUUGGUGAGGUAAAGGCUCACCAAGGCGACGAUCCGUAGCAGGUCUGAGAGGAUGAUCUGCCACACUGGAACUGAGACACGGUCCAGACUCCUACGGGAGGCAGCAGUGGGGAAUAUUGGACAAUGGGCGAAAGCCUGAUCCAGCCAUGCCGCGUGUGUGAAGAAGGUCUUCGGAUUGUAAAGCACUUUAAGUUGGGAGGAAGGGCAGUAAGUUAAUACCUUGCUGUUUUGACGUUACCGACAGAAUAAGCACCGGCUAAC
rnacentral:rRNA from 1 species